GAUCAAGACUCUUGAUGUAACCAUAAUCUGAUUAAAUUAGAUCAGCUCAAGAGUCCCAAUCAACUAGGACUCUUCCUAAUUGAUUCUUGAAUUAAACUCUUUUAAUUCUGAUGAGUCUAUAAAUUAAGAUUAACAUCUAGCAAUGUGUGAUGACUAUCUAAAAAAUUUAAAAUUUAAUGAAAAUAUCAAAGUUACCUUUCUGUGGUAAGUUACUAUGUAAUUCAAUCCUUCGAUCACACAACAUCUCAUAC
rnacentral:lncRNA from 1 species